CAAGUGCUGGUAUUUUCAAGGGAAUGUGGGUCAGCUGAGGUGUGAAUUGUACAUUUAAGAAGACAGGAAUUAUCUGGUGUAUUUUUUCAAGACCGAAGCACACAGAAUGAUUUUUUAAGCAGUUUAGGUGGUUGUGAGCAAAGGGGAAAAUUAUUAAAGUUUUCAGACUUCUGAAAUUCUGUGCAAAUGAGUCAGUUGUCUUCACAUUCCUACAAAACUGGAAAGGCAAAAUUACGUGAAUACUCAGAUAGGAGUAUGGAGUCCAAAAGACUUGACUGGAGUACUAGAGCCUACAUUGUAGAAUCACCAAUAGAUUACUGCAGUUCUGUGUUUCCAACGUUGAGAUAGAGAGAACAACUGGUUUCCCAUGCAACAUGUUUUGCUGAUUUCAUCCAAUUUCAUAAUUGUCAGCAAUAGCACUUUUUCUUCCAAGUGAUUUAUAAAUACUGACUAAUUUGUUCUCACAAUUGUCACAACAAUCUGGAUUUUACUCUCUCAGACUAAAAAAUAUCGCUGAAGACAAGGAAACAGAGUCAGUCAAGUAUUAAUCAAAGGGUUCAUUUCCUCUGUGAAGUCAGCCUCAAAAUGGUAUUAGAUGUCAUCUGAGCAGUCCUUAUUUCCAGUGUAGGUCUAGUCACUAGGCACUAGCUCAUCUUCUGUGUAGCUGUUUUUUCUGGAACUUUAUUGCCAGAGAAGAGGAAAUUAGAAGACCAAAAAGAAAAAAUGCAGCUGUUUUUUUCAGUUUACUUCAGCUUAAUUCUCAUUCUUUGCAGUUAAUGUUUUACUCUGCAUACAUUCAGGUGGAAAUGUUUAUAGAAAUCUAUGGUUAUCUUCUCAAGUGUGGCAUGUGUGAGUGUUAUUCAGAACUUUCCACUCAAGCAAGUGCAAAAUAGCUGCUCUUUUGUUCUCUGUGGCACCCCAGAAAAGAAAGAUGACAGGAAUGAGUGAGAUGACAGAGCCAUGCUCAGCCCAAGCCUUUAAUGCUCAUCAGAAGGUCUGGCAAAAAUGUACAAGGUUGUGUUCUCCUUCACAGCUGGAGAGACCUGGGAUACAUUUCUGGAAGACAGACGUUUUCCCACUGCUCUCUGCUACAAGAGCGUGUCUGUACCCUCACCUGCUCCUGUUUUGGCUGGCUGUCACCUUUGAGCCUGCUGAUUGGAGUGGGACUGCUCAUGGUUUUUGCUUGGAGUGAUGGCAAAGAGUCAUACCCAUUCACUGGGGCAGGAGACGGUGAUGGCUAUUAAAUCACGUUUCAAGGUUUUAUAAAACCACUGUGAAAGACUCAAAGCAGCAAACAAGGUGCCACUUAUUACCAGUGAUGAAGAAAGCUUUUGAUGAAGGGAAGAUGCAAUUUUAAGAAAACUGUUGUGCCAGUAAAUGCUGAAGGUCAGACUCUGCAGGACUGAUACUUCAGGCUUAAUAGUCCGUGUGUGUUUCUGGCUCCUUCAUUGCUGUGAAGUAAAUAAGAUCUGAAGAUGCCAGUGCAUCCCAGGUGCUGGGGACCUUGAAGUCUCAGACUCUCAAGAUUGAAGGGUCUGCUUUAAAACAACCCUAUUGAAGGAUAAUUUCACUAGUGAGUCGCACAGAAGAAAGGUGUUCAUAUCCUCUGAAUUGCCUGGUUUUAGAUGUGUUUCCCAGAGGAAGUGCUAGUACAUUAACUAUUACUCUCCUCUUACAUAGUUCACCUUUUUCCUACAACUCCAGCCUGCCCACAGGCACCGCUGGCUCACACAAAAAAAGGAGUGUUUCUGGAGCCCACUGCUGCAAGGUUGCAUAAUCACUCAUGUAAUUUAGUCAGCGGGGACAGGAGAAGGAGGCUCCUUCACUGCUGUUGUGUGUGGCAUAUGCAGAGGAGUUAUGGCUAAAUAGCAGCAGUAGCCAGUGAAGCAUUUGCAUUUGGCUGGCCACUCAAAUGGAUGAAAAGAAGGAUAUUUUUUCUGCUUCUUCAUUAACGUAAGCAAUUAUGUCUUGUCUCUGCUGAUUGCUAUGUACAGGUAGAAAACUGCUACAUUCAGGGCAGAAAACUGUGAGAAGAGGGUAAGGGACUGUGUGAAACAGAGGGAGAAAUAUACUGUAAGGAGGCUUUGGGAGGAUGAAAGAGAGGAAAGGGAAAGAGUGAGAUCAUUACCAUGGAGAUUAAAGACCUCUUCCUAUCAGCCAGGAUUAGGACUGUAGUGGGAAUGCUCUUAUAUGUUGCUAUUAAUUUGCCUAUUUUUUUGGUUACACAAUAAUUGUCCAUGCUAUUGGAUACAGAUUGGCAAUAAACUUCUAUGGUUUAUAAAAGCCAUAAUACAGGUGAUAUUACAAUGACAGUUCUUUUUAACUUUGCGGUUUCUCAUUUAAGGCAAAUGACUAGAGACAGUAACCCUGGGUCUGCUGACCCUGACUCCUGUUUUCUGAUUGCAUGUUUAUUGAUAGGAGCUCCAGUAUGAGGGACCAGCCCCAGCCCUGUUUCACAGGGUAUGAUAGCCAUACAUACUGACCUAAUCAUUUCCUUUAGCAAUAGUGUCAUUUACUUCCUACAAACUUGAAAUUUGUAAUAUAGUUUUGCAUACAUUUGGCAAUAAUUUAUUGCAAUUAAUCACUCUAAAAGUGCAUUUAGUUAAUUUAAAAGUAUCUGAAGUCACUUUCAGCAGUCUCAAACCUAUACAGAGUAGCAGAACAAUCUCUGUGUGUUACUCAAAUUGCAAUUCUUCACAUCAAGAGUAAGGAAUAACAGUAUUAAGGCAGUUCAGUUAAUAUUUGACUCCUGUCUGUGCUUUUUUCCCAUAACUAUUUUUCUUGUCACAUGCUGCUGUAAAUCUGAGUAGCCAUAUAUACUCUUGUAAAAAUAAAAGCAACACUUAAAAAUCUCUAAGCAUCUAAAAUAGAAAAUGUUAAGAACUUGCUGUGUAUUCCAUUUUACUUUCCUGAUACAAUUCCCAGUAAAAGAAAGAAGUUGAACAGCUUUAUUAAUAAAUUGCAUGGUACUCCUCUGUUAUAGGAACAAUAUAUUCUUAAGCACUCCAUGCAUCUGAAAUUUGUCUUGAUGUGGCCCAUUUAUUUUAAUUUGCAUCUGUCAGUGGAAAAAAAGAAGUAAUUAAACUUGUGACUAGCAUGGAGAAACAUUUUACAUCCUAACACUGUAGCUUGAUACCCAGUAGUUUCUUUAUAUUUCUUCCAGUUGUCAGAUCAAAGUCUCUCAAGUACUAUAACUCAGCCGUGCUUUGAUUAAUUACUUCACACAAUGAAUUUGCAAAUUGUAUUUCUGAAGUGAUUUAUGUACAUUUUAACUUCAGUCACACCCCCCUCCCCUCUGUUUUGUUGUUUGGAUUUUUUUGGUUUUGUUUUAUUUUGUUUGCCUUUUUUUUCCUUAUUCCAGUCUUUACUCACUAAUGUAGUCAGUCCACACCUUGAAAAAUAUUUUUGAAAAAUAACCGAUGCUAUUUUAUGCUUAACAAAUUGGUAUAAACACAAGUUACCAGUAAAUAAUGAAAUCUUACCUGAACUGUGCAAUUAAACAGAACUGUAAGAAUCACUUAAAUUGCAGUCCCUCACCAGCACUCCUAGCGAGGUCUUCAGCCUCAAUGCUUUGUACAAACACAUGAAGUCCCUCCCUAAAAAUUCCCAGCUGCAGGUUUUUUCUAGGCUGAGGUUUUAUUCGAGAUAGAACUACUGGAAUAGCUGAGCUAAGGCAACCUUUAAAAUACAUGUUCAAACCAAACAUUUGGUUACUGUAGUUAGGCAUUGGUAAACAGUAUUCAGGGAAGUAAUAACUUGCCUGUACCAGUGAUGUGCUUGCAUGGGCAAAGUUUAAUAUUUACAUUUGUGGUUUCUUUGUACAAUCUCAUGUGGCAUACUUCUGUCCAUGUUCAAUCCAUUUGCAUUACGUACUGGUAUCUGAUGUCUGUUUAGUGAUAUCACAUUUAUAUAUAUAAAUAUCCAUGCUUUUCCUACAAAUUUAUUCUGAAGGAGUGCUGUGAGUUUAUUUCUCUCAUUACCCCUCGCUGAUAUCCUUAGCUCUGAAUAUUUGAACAUUCACAUCCUUUAGAAGUCAUUUUCAUCUAGAUGCUGCUUUGUUUUUUAUCCAGAUAUGAACCAAAGAAAGAAAUGUGGGUGCAGGUAAAGGACCAGUAGGGGGGUCCUGAUUGCAGAUGUGUCACUGGCAUACUGUUCCUUCUCACUGCAAAGUAAUUGUUUUGUCCAUCAAUAUAAGAAACUUCAUAGAGUGAAAUGGGGCUGAAGUCUUGCAGAUUGCAAGUAUUAAUUCACUUCCUUGCUUCCUUUUGGAGUAUGUUAAUAGCUCUCCAUCAGAGAAAACCCAUCUAUGGUUUGGGGAACAGUUUACUUUGAAGGCCUCUCAUUAUAGAGAAAACAGACAAUAUUUCAAUAAAUGUGAUUAUUUGAUGCUUCUGGCAAGAUUUGCACCCUCAAACACCCCAAGUACCUUCACAUCAUGCCCCAGGACCUGCAACAACUUUCUUGGUAUGUGACAUAUAACAGCUGUAGUGGUGGACAGAAGUGUUGACCUCACAAUACUUUGAACUCUUGGAACAGGAAAAAAACCAUGCACGCAAAAAACAUUGUGUUCUAGGGCCACCAAAAUGGGGCAGAGGGGAUGCCCUUAGGAAAUUCUAUGCAGUGUGGAUGAGGCCAGUCUUCUCUAGAUGGGGACAGCCAAGUAAUGUACGUGAAGAUGUGCUGCAGCACCUGCCCAGAGAUGAUCAGUUGUUCCCUGGGACAGAUGUAUUUAGCCAUACAGACAUAACACAGUCAGAACAAGCUGUCUAACCCAGAGUUGUUUCUCCAGUGACAGCUAGUAGUGGAGGCAUGAGGUAAUGGGUGUGCAUUUUAACCACAUGUGGAGUAAUACUUCUCCUUGUAUGCUUUGCCCGUUUUAGUUUGCUUGUGCUUUCUGCCUUCAAUUUUAAAUAGGCCCAUUACUUCUGGGUCUGAUCUUGGACAUCAUUGGUAGAAACAGGUCUAUUUCUAGUUGUCAGGAAACAUUUUUCAGAUAAAUUUUCCUGGUCUUUCUGAAAGCCUGUGGUGUUCCACAGACUGAAGACUUCUAUAACUCCUGUGCAAUAUAGUUUCCUAUUAUAUUGACAAUUUUGCUACUGAAAUGCUAAUUUGACAUAAAAUAUUAACUUGAACAACUGAUAAGGAGGGUACAUGUAUUGCCUUUACAGACUGUUAAAUUAUGUAACCAAAACAUAAGCAGAGGAAUCGUAGUCUCUUUAGUUUAAGUCUUGCCAUUGCCUCAUUUAAUACUGUGUACAUGGCACUUAUCAAACUUGAUUUUACCAGUAAUAUGGGCUCAGCCUGUGUGCAACUGCACAACAUCAUUAUAAGAUAGGGCACAUCAUUGCCUCUAUUUUUUUAAAAGUAAACCCAGUUGACUGCAUCUGUUUUCCCAUGACCCUCUCGAAAGAUAAAAUGUAGAUCAUAAGAUUGUUUCUGUUGCAAGGUCCCAAACAAAGAAAUAAGAAUGUCAGCAAGCUAAGUGCCAGCUUUACAUUAAAUAAUAGAGUAAUAGGAGGGAUCCUUAAAAAAUGGAUAGGUUGAUUUUUACAUAGGAGCCAUUAUGAAAAUUCUCUCUUUAUGAAAGGAAAAUUAGUGUCUCCAUUUCUGUACUAAGACUUGAGAAACCAGUAGACCUAGCAUAAUAAACAUUUUAGAAUGGUUAUUAUCAGAACAUCAAUGUGUCUUGUGUAUUGAAGCAGGAAAUGCAACUAUGACGUUCUUCAGCCACGUAACAAGUAUGUCAGAAGACUAUUAUCAUUGAUGAAUAAAUCAAAAUAAAUAAUACAUUCCUGAAAGGACCUCAUGUUCCUUCAGGCAAAGCUGAGGCAUUAAUGUGAGAAGACGCCAAUGACUGGACCCAAAGGAGCAGCGUCCCCUCUCCUCACCUGCAGUACUGACUAAACAGAAACACCGGACAACAGUACAUGAGACUCCAGUUGCUUAUUUGUGCAUUUUUAUGUUACUGUCUGAGAAGAUUUGAAGGGUGGACCUCCUCCUGUCCCUCUGCUUCAGCUACAGGCAGGAAAGCACUUUAGCAAUUGUCAGCUCUCAAGAUGAGAACAGAGCACCAAGUCACCACAACAUAGUAUGAACAGAAGCUGCUUCUUAAAAAAAAGAUAGGAUUAUCCUUUGGAUUUGACAUCUGGGACAGAGAUUUAUUAUGGGUUGGCAUCAUUAUCCCUAAGUUUUUCCACUUAUAAGAUUGGACUUCUCCCAUUUUAUGAAGUGUUUAUAUGUCUUAGAAAAACCCAAACCAACAUGUAAAGUUUUGUUAUAUCUGUUUUUACUGACUUCAGUGGACUCCAUGUUUGUCUCUGAGGUCUUUGGAGUCCAUGAGAUCUCUAGAUGUAAUCACAGUGGAAAUGGAAAGGAACUGAAAACAUAGCUGAAGGAUAUUUUGAGAAGUGGCAUCUCAGAGAAGGCUGGAGAGACAAACAUGGUAUUCUCAAAAUCUGUAACAAACCCAGCUCACUGAACGGCAGCACUUUCCCUAAGUUUUUAAUAGUCUGCCAGUUUAGAAAUUGCCCAGGUUUAAACCCUCACCAUAAUGCUUAUUCUUUUGGAAAAGCUGACAGAGGCAUUUAACUCUGGUGUCACUUGUACUAUCAAUUAUUUCACCCCCUGUGCAAGAUCGGUUGCUGGAGUCAUCACUGGAAAGAAGUAGAAAAAUCUACUACUGGGCAGUUUUUUUAAUGUCUGUGUCACUCAUCAGAUAUAUGAUGUUAUAGCUUGCAUAUGCAAAAUAUGCAUCUUUUAUGGCAAGAUAGCUCUUCUGAUGUCUUGAAGUGUCCUGAACUCAUUACAGCUUUUGACUUGUUCCAGCCUUCAGAUUAAAAUGGUUCAGGUUACAUCAUUUUAAACUGCGCAAAGGGUCAAGAGACCAUUUCAUUUAAAUGAGGCCACAGUUCAUUUGCUUUGGCUCAGGAAAGCCAGAGGAUGAAAUACAUAUUAAUAGUCAUAGUUUGAAGGAAGGAUUGCAGCCUUGGUAUUACAAUGAAGCGAAACAUUUCAUACAUGAUACAGCAAAAUAGUCACUGGAUUUUUGCCAGUUUGAAAGAGAUACAGAGGGAGAGACAAUGAAGGAAAAUAAUAUAAUUAAAAAAUGCACCUGGUACCUAAUGACUUUUUUUUCUUUUUUCCCCUAACUUUUCGUUAUGGGGAGAAGCAAUAUUUGCUUUUUGCUUCAUGGAGUUGAAAUCAGUCCAUUAAGAGGGUGGGAGAAAAGAUUAAUAGGUAAAUUCAGCAUGCUGACUCCUUCAUGUAGUUAAUGUGCUUAAUCUUACCUAGGUGAUGAGCUGCAUUUACACUGACAAUGAGUGGAGAGAGAGGAAGAGAGGUUAAAUACAUGGUUAGGGGAACAAAGUUAAUGAAAGCAUGUUACAGGAUUUUACAAAAAACAUAUAUUACUGUUCAUUUAAUUUAGUCCUUGGGACAAUUACAUCCCUGGUGUAAUCUCAUUAAGCUAAUGAGAUCACAUCAGGGAUGAAUUUGGCUCUUGUAUUUGAAGUUUUAAAGUGGCGGUGUUAUUGUAAUUUUCUUCUUUGCUUAGAACGUGAAUGAGCUUUGAAAACUUGAGAAAAUAGUAUUUUUAAGGAUGAUAGAGACUGGGGGGAUGCAAAGUAGAAUAUUGAGCUAGCUCAGUUUUAGCUCUCAUUGUCCUUGUCCACAUAAUGUUUUUAAAGUAUGUUUAUUAGCUUUGCACUUCUGUAUGUGGAGGAACUGUUGCCAUCUGAAAUCCAGAGUCUGAAAGACGUAAGGCACCUACAUACUCUCCCUAAAAAGUGCCCAUGUUCACCUUUAGGCAUAACUGACACUCUCAAAAUCGUCCCCAGCUGCACUGAUCCGCUUCAAUACUUUGUCAACAUCUGAGUGUCUAAGCGUACACAGCAUAGAUACCCACUGUGCCUGCUGGCCAUCCCACAGUAGGUUUCCUAACAGAAACAAAAGCUUCCCAGCCUCAAAAAUAUGGUACCUCAAAUGCACUAUUCAUCUACUUCUGCCUUCUGUGAGCUUGAUGCAUAAAACAUACACAACAUACUCCCCUUCUAAUGAUUUCUGAUGACUUUUUUUUGUCAUUGACAGUAGCAUGUUCAAGUUGACCAUAAUAAUCUGUGUCCAAGUCUUUUAUUUUGAUGACAUGACUUCAAUCAGAACUUUGUGAGACCUCUGGCCACCAAGCUGCUGGAAUUUUAGUUCAUGUACGUGACAAUGUAGUCGUUGGAGCUGAGACUUACACCAGGAUCUUGGGUAUGUGUCUUAAGCUCUGGGGGACCGCAGCUCUUUCCAUCUGUGGUCCAGUGACCAAAAUGGAAUUCCUCUCACUAGGAGAAUGACGUGAACCAGUAACAUAAUAUUUAGUAACUAACUGCCAAAGGUGAUCUCUUAUAAGGUGAGUUCAGAUUACUGCCUCCAUGAAGUUACAAGAGAGAUUAUUUAGAUUCAAGUCUCUUAAAGUCCAGGUGAAUGAUCCAAGAAAACACCUACUUGAUGGUUUCUCUGAUUUUCUGUGGUUUUUCAAUAACAGGAAAAUCCUGACAUAAAUGCCCUUAGAAUAAAUUCAUGCCUGACAAUGUCUGACUGCAGGGAAAUGUUGGCCUGGUGCUUUACAUGGAUCAUGUCAGUGUGACAGGGGCAUAAGCAUUGACGCUGAAUGACUCUUUGUUAAAUUGUGCACAAUCCUGCUUAGCUAGUUUUUAAGGUAUCUGACUAUCCCCAUGUUUAAGGGAAAAGAGAAUAUGGCUGUAAUGUAGCAAUUCUCCAAUUAUCCCUCUUUGCCAGAACCCACAAGCAAUCCAGAGAUUUCUGAGAGUUAUGCCAGCAAAUCAAAUCUGUCAUAUUUCAUUGUGGUGAGUUCAGUAAGAUUCCUUAUAAAAUAAAUUACUCUUCUACAAAAUUUAUCCUAAAACCUGCACAGUAAUAAUCCUUCAGCAUUUUUAAAUUACCCUAUAUUGCUCUUAUUUCUCAAUAUAUCUGGGAACAGUUAAAAUAUCCCUGUAGAUUUUUUUUCUGAUAUUUCCCCUAAAAUAUUACAGGAAUUUUCCAGCUGAGAUAUAAUAAUAUUUCCUUCUAGCCUACCUUCUUGUUCUACUCCAACAGACUCACAAUGAACAUGUUCUCAGAAUGCAGACCCAGCUGCACUUUCCUUUUAUUACUUAUGACAAUCUUUAGAGUACACAGGAGACAUUUUUUUUUCCCAGACCUUAUUCUUUAUUUGUCAUGACAAUGACACAAUACUCAAGACCUCAAUGAUCUUGUGCAAUUUCAUUUUUACUGUCAAUAAUAGUUCAGACACAUAUAUAAUCGUCUCUCCCCCUUCCUCCCUUUCCUCACUAAUGUACUUUUGAAUUUUUCAACAAGAUAUGUAAACAUGUCAUUUUUCUAAUAAUUUUAAUUGUUUUACCUAGUAUUAUAAUUAUGAGAUGUUCAUUUCUGUUUCAUUCUAGUGCCCCUGCUGUAGUAGUGAAGGAGCUUAGGUUUUAUAAUGUCAUUCUUCUGUUCAGGUGGAUUUUGAUCUUGAACACAGCUAGUUAAACUUUGGAAUGUUGAUUCUUUGGAAAAUUCUGAGAUCUGGUUGGUUGUUUUUUUUAUUUAUUUUUUUAAUAAUUCCAAAAUCGACUGAAAUUUUGACCAAAUAAUGCGAUACCAAUGGAUAUGUUCUGCUUAGAGACCAUUGGAAUAUUGUGCUCUGAUUCAGACCUGUAAUUAUUUAAUUCCACUUAAUCCUCAAAAUGAAGUACAGUUCUGACAGUAUCAAUAUUUUCUAUCAGAUUUUUUUAAAUAAAACAGUCCCUGAACCAGGGUAUUUCCUCACACUUUUAUUUUUUUUUUCUCUGUGAAUGAAACAGCGUUUUCUACUGUAGUAACAUAAUUGUUGGAAGCUUCUUACUCCACAGUGAAGCUGAUAAGGUGUAGAAUACAGGUGAAAUCAAAGAGUAGCCUAAUCUAUUCAGGAGGCACCUUGGCCUCAGGGGAGAUUCCAGAACAAGAGCAAGGAAACCUCGGUGAUGUUGUGCAGGCAGGAAGCCUCCUGCCUGGAUGGGGUGGGCAGGCCUGCCUGGGACCUGAGUGCUGUCUAACCCAUUCUUCCAUCCUGACCACUAUAUCGGGUUUAAGGUACUUAAGUAAAACAAACAAACAGAAAAAGAGGUAAAAGGGCAUUCUUGGCGCUCAGAUAGUGCUGAGAAGGGGAAAAGCACGCUAUUGCAAGCCCAAGGAAGAUAUAUGGUUACCCAAAGGGGGAGGUAAACAAAAAGGCUGAGAGAAAUUUGUGUCUGUUUGAAAUGUGUUUCUCCUUUUUUUUUUUCCUCUCGUGGCAUGAGGGGGGAUGGGGAGUUAAGAGCAUGGGAACAUUUUAUUUUGUGUUACUGAAUUCAGGAGCCUUUGUGGAUUUCGUUUCUUACUAUAAUAGCUGCUUCAUUUUGAAUGCUUUAACAUCUACAAGGCUCUCAGUGUAGAUGAAUGAACUCUGCUGUCAUUUCAAGCACAUCACUUUCAUAUCUUCUUGCCAGGCGGUUACAGUUAUUAACAGCAGCAUUUAAAAUUUGCUUUCUUCUUCGAAUAAAGCCCCGACUAUAAGAUAGAACAAAUUACAAGUAGUAUGUAUAGUGCAGCAGUGUUAAAACUGCUGUCAGCAUCCCAACGUGGCCAUAUGUCUGACAUAAAGUACACAAAAGAAAGUGUUGAGGAUUGGAGCACAGUUUGAUGAUAAGUAGGCCGUUUAAACAAUAAGCCUCUCAAGUGAGCAAUAUACAUUCUGUUCUGUUUUUCUUACUUUGUGCUGUUUUAAAUCAAAGUCCACGGGUAUGCUAUUGCUGGGAGGUUGGACAUGUUGUCUGCAAGUAAAUAGGCCUUCUGCCAAGUAACUAGAGCUCACUCUUGGUAAAGGAAGAACAUUGUUCACUAAAAUAGUUUGUCUUUUGAUGCCAGAGGAAAUCAAAUUGUAAUCAAGGGCUGAGAAAGGACUGAAGUCAUAAAGGCUGGCUUGCCUCAGACUUUGGCAGCCUCACUUGUUCCCAGGCAUAUUAAAUAUAAUUUACGUUUGCAGAGGGGAGAGGCUUUAUUGCACUGGAAAUUUAUUUUAAAUAACACUUAAGUGAAACACUGUCAGGGGCAGCCAGGGAUACACUUCUACUGUCAUUUAGGCUGCUGAAAAUCCAGAAUAUGUUCAUGGGCUUUACCAGAUUUGUUCUGAAGUUACAUCUGUGAAAAUGGAUAUUUAUGGUCAGUGUUGAUGAAACAAUCACAUUUCCUAGGUUCUGGUCACCCAUGCUGAGUGGAAAGUUCAUGAUGAAAGUCUUACCUCAGUUACAGAAAAUGUUUAUAUAUUUUUCUUUCAUUUUAUCAUGCAUGUGAAAAUUCACAAUGACUAUAAAUAACCACCUUUGGAUGAAAAAUCAUGAAUACUGCAUAGGACAGUUGAAUCAAUUAUGUCCUUAAUUUGCAAUGUAUUAAGUGGAAUUGAUUUUACUGAUAAUCCCUGUGUAAAAAGUUAAAGUUUAAAAUAUAUUUUUUUUUGUGGUUUCAGAAAGAAACUUUAGUAACACUUCAAAACAAUAAAAAAAAAUCUGGUUUUUAUUUUUCCAAAUGGAAUUUAUCUUUUGGAACAGUAAAACUUACUUUUGUUUCACCAUGGAAUUAAAAACUAAUUUAAAAAUAGCUUCUCAGAAGAAGUGAUAAUUCUACUUUUCAGCAUCUUGUUCAUAAGUAGCCAGCCGAAGGAAAACAUUGUAUUAAUUCUUUGCACACUUUUGGACAAGAUAUUUUUCUUUCAACUUGACACCAUAAUGUAGGUUACAUCUGAAACUUGUUUUACAGAUUUGCACUGAGUCAAAGCAAUGGAAUUUGCCAACUAAAAAAUGAAAGGUUUUCCAUGCACAUCUCAUUUAUGAUCAUAUUAUUUUCUUUGCUUUGCAGCUUUGUCCCAUUGCAUAUAACAUUUGUCAGCAAAUUCAGUGUAGUUCUGUAUGUACUAUAAAAAGGGAAAUUUGACCCUUAGGGAAAAUCAUAAGGGAUAAUUAAACUACCAAAGAAAUAUUUGGGUAGCUGCUGUCUUUAAAAAGUCAGAUUUUUUGUUUCCAUCAUUCUGUUGGAAAUAAUAUUGAAACAGCAUGCUUCCACCUUAAAAUGGCGAUAUUUGGAUCAUUUAACACAGCUCACCUCUGUUCAAGUAACAAUUGACAUUUUAAGCAAUUUAACUUUAAUUCUGUAAGUAGACUGGGACAGAUUUUAGACCUUGCAAACUAAUUUGGAGGUCUAACACAAGCCUUUAAGAACCUUAAAAAUAUGUUUUCUGUAUCUCAGUGCCUGAGGGACCGAAAUAGGUAGGCGCCUGUCUGCGAUGUUUCUUAAAGUCAUACCCCGUCUGCGCAUGUAUUUACCCAAGUCUUGAUGAUGCCUAACAUCUAAACAACUAGCUUAAUGCCCAAACUCUGUCACCUCAGAAUAACCUAUAGCCUCAUGACUAAGCUUUUUUCUGGAGGCUCCUUUGAAAGCAUGUGUUAUUCAUGUUUUCUGUACAAAGCAUCUAAUUAAAUUUUACUCAGGGUGGUGGGUCCUAAUAAGAGGCAAGGUGUCUAGAAGAUAUGACCUGCAUUUCUCACCAUUGCCCAAGUCCUUGUGUAAGUCUAACCUAAGGGCACUUAAAAAUAGCUUGAUGAAAAUAUAAACAAACUCUAUCCUUUCCUGGAGCUUCAAACCUCCCUUUUCCAGAAGGGAGGUAGAAUUUAAAUGCAUUAUUUUCCAAACAAAAUUAGAUUGCACUAUUAAUAUAAAAUAAUUUUAAGAAAAAAUAUCAGGAUUUGUCAUGAAGAAAUUAGAGUAAAUAACUGCAGAAGUUCUGAAAGCACCCUUACUCUUGUGUCAAUGGCUAUUCCAAGGGGAAAAUGACAAGGUAAAAUUUUUUUACAUUGCAGCAUAAAAAUACCACGACUAUCAACUGUAACCCAUGGCUGCCCUUUUUCCCAGCUGCAAUACAUAUUUGGAAGAUAUAUGGUGAGGGCUAAGGAACUAGAAAAGACAUAAGGGUGACUGAAGAGGCAAAUGCUGUGACACUCAGACAUGAACUAAGCUUCCUGGCACUUCCAACAGCCACCGGCACUCAUGGGGAUUUGACAAAUCAGUAGUCAUUUUAAAAUAGUCCAUAUCAGUGACUAAUACCACAUGACUGUGGAGCAUGGGCUUCUGAGACUAAUAAAAGCAGGACACUGCUAAAAAUGCAAUCAGACUUAGGAAGACAUUCCAAGAAGUAACUGGAGAGUUCUCAGGACGUGUGUUCCUGUAAGGACAUGCAGGGAUUAAGCUGCUGUGUGAGCCUGCCUGCAUCUGUGGUCCCUGUGAAGAUCUGCAGCUCAGGUACAAUCUGAAGUCAGGGAGAUGCUCUGAGACAGCCACAAGCUCUCUGAAGAAAUCCACACAAAGAGCCUUUCAGAAAACGCCUUCAAGAUCCAAGCCUGUCUUCAAUAUUCCCUUCUCUAACACUGCACAAUCCUGUAUCACACUUUUCAAGUGCUCUCAAACUUUUUGUUGCUUUUAUUUUCCUUCCCUUUCAGUCAAACAACACGAUACAGUGUAUUCAGAUGUUAAUAGGACCGUUAGUGUAUUUCUUGAAAUAGGAACAAACAGACUGCUUUAAAAGUUUUUACUUUUAUAUAAAGAUAGGUGUAUAUAGAUAUUUAUACUUUUGUUAUGUUUUCUGCCUUCCCUUUGUAUUGUCUUGUAAACAUGUCAUGAACUUGAUCCUUCAUUUCCGAAAACAAUAGGAGCUGGAUGCUGACUUCAGGGGAAGCAAAUGAAAGACCCAUCUUUCUAUUGUUGCAGAUUUAUUUAAAAAUUGGGCUUUCAAAAAUAUUCUUUGAAAUAAAGAUGAACAAUGCAAACAAAAUCGGAGCAGAAAGACAUAUUUCAAUGCCCAAACAGUAAUUGCUAUCCCACCUUCCCAUAACCACUGUAAUACUAGGAAGCAGGGAGACAGAUAUAAAAUACAGCUCAGCUGAGUGUGAAAACAAAAUUGUGCAAGAGCUUUAAAGCUUGUAGCCUGACUCUACCCCCACCUCACCACUAUCUUGUCUGUAGAUGCUCAUCAGCAAUAUCCCACCCUGAGUUUGGGCAUGGGACAGCUCGCGAUUUAUCUGCCGUAGUAAAUUUGUCCUACUGCUGCAGAGACUGACUGGGCAAUGUAUUAAUCUACUUCUAUCAGCUUACACUCUUCUGCUGGACUUGGUUAUUUUUAUUUUUUUUCUUCUCAGGAGACCCAAAGCCAGUCAGUUUGAAGCUAACAGCUGUUCAAAUUGCUGUAUGCUUUUAGAGGAGAUGUGAAAAUGAAUGUGUGCCAGAAUUUUGGUUGCAGUUACAAUGAAGUUAACUCACUUUGACAAAGAAAUCCUGCUCCUGAACUUCUUUUACAUGCUAAGACACGGUAAUAUGUGAAAAACACAGCUGAUGGGCGUAGAAUUGCCAGCCUGUCAUCUUAACAAAGGACUUUUGGAAAUGUGUUUCCUCCUCAGCAAAGGGAUUCUCCUGCAUGAAGUUUUGUCUCAGAAAUGUACAAAAGACUGUUAUAACAGAAAAGUACAUAAACAAUGAUGUUUUAAGAUCUGUAAUAUUAAUAUUAAUUAUUCUACUUUAUUUAGUCAAUCACCAUUCCUAAGUAAAUAAAAAAGUUUUCAGCAGUCAGGCAAUCAGGUGACAUAGGCUCUGUAGUGAUGUCUCUAAUUAAAACCACCUGAAACUCACGUACAGGUAUACAUCUGUGUGAAUGUGAAUACAUCUGUAUUGUGCCUAAAACCAUCCACCUCUCUAUAUAAACACCAAUAUAUUUUAAAAUAAUUUUACUUAAUUAAAAAAAAAAAUCCAGACUAAACAAAUACCUGCUACAGGAGCAAAUGCUUUUUCUUUCUUUGUGUUUGUCUCGGUUGGAAUUGUGUGAAAUACCACAUCCCAAAUCAGCUGCACUGCAAAUCCUCAGUUUAUACAACCUAUAGAAACCAUGAGCAGGAAAAUUUUUUUCUCAUCUCCUAAAAAUCCAGUGCUAUGAAACAGCUAAAAAAAAGAACAGCUUUGCCAGGCUAUGGUAAAGGAAGCAGUGAUCAUGAUAAUACAGCUCCACGAUGCAAAUAAUUGAAUAAUUUUAGCCAAAGAAAAUGUAAACAAACAAACAAACAACCCAAGCUCAAAACUCUCACUCCAGAUCAGGUGUUUGUUACCAGGAAUGUCAGAAGCCAUGUCAGACAGAGCAUAAAAAAUUCAAUAGAAUUAUUUUGGAAUGAUGUCAAAAGCAAACAUGAAAGUCUAUUCAAAGGCAAACUUAUCUGUUCACUGUAAUGCAUUGUAAUACCAGCUAUUCAAUUUUUUGUUCAAGCUCAAUGGUCCUAAAAUAAACCUCCAAACUCUCAAUACAGAUUUCUUUGCCCACAUACAUACAAAUAGCUUUAAAGUUAUGUAUUUUACUCAUCCAAGCAUUUUCCCAUGUAAAUUUUCAUUUUUUGAAACAGUAUCAUUUAAUUUAUGAAUUCCUUGAGUGUGAUGAAUCUGGGUGAUAAAUUGAGGUUUGUCAAACAAGGGAAACUUCUGUAGCAAAACCGCCCACUUUUGCAGAAUAAAAGAAAAAUAAUAAGAAAAAUACUUUAAACAAUCUGUAACAAUAACUCUCUGUGAUGCAAAUAUUAAUGAACAAUGAAUGAUAACAUUUUUAGGACACUUGAGUGAAACCAUUGAAUAGUACCCACAGAUCCUUUUUGCCUUUCUCUGUGGUAACGUAGACUUUUCAAUACCUUCUUAUUGAGUAGGAGAGAUUUAUAGUUUGUCUUGGACUCUGCAGUUCCAAAGGAAGACACAAGGCCGAACAGGCUCAAAAUUCAAAGAAAAAGGAUAGCAUGUUUUCUCUACUGUAUCAAGAAAGGAUGAAUAACUGUUGUGUAUCUAAUAUGCAGAGACAUCUUAGUAUAACAAGACACAGCUUAGCUCCUAGAAUCCUUGUUAUUUAAUCCAUUUAGUUCUGCCCAGGGAUCACAUGAAUUUAUGGAAACCCCCUGCUACCCUCUUUGUUGACUUCCAUCCCUGCUGAGAGAUCCCCAUCUGCUGGGAAGUGAAACUCUGUCCUGAACUUUACCUCAUUUAACACAGUGCCACAUGUAAAUUCAACUUCUUCAUUUAUUACUUUGACAGAGCAGAUGGCAAUGGGCUUUUAAAAGACUGCAGUGUUGCUCAAAACCAGCUAUAUUUGUAGAAAUAAUAGUUUAAACUGCUUGGAUUCUAGUGUCUGAUUUUUAGGAAAAGAGUCUGACACAGGCAAUUAAAUUUUUGAGCCAUCAGUACUUAGUGAUGCAUCGUAAUUUAGCUGUUUUCAGAAAAUCAUAUUGUGAUCAAAUAAUCAUUCAUUAAGACAGAAAAUUCUUUUCUAAUGGAAAUUUGAGACUCAUAUUUGGUGGCUGAUAUGAGUGACUAGUUUUCUAAUAGCCUUAAUCACUGGAGUAUUUCUUUACUUGUUCAUUUAAGCCCAUUAAUGAAAACGUAUGAUGUUAAGUCUAAUAUCUGCUAACCCUUGAUGACUGUUUUGACUUCCAGCAUUGUCCUAUAAAUAACUGUGAAUGACAUGCACUGAAAAUCAAAGAGUAUUAUUUCACUGUGAUUACAGAGAACAGGUUCACCCAAGACUUCCUUUUCAUCCAGUAAGACCACAGAGAAAUUCAUUGUUAGCUUGUG